AUUGAACGCUGGCGGCAUGCCUUACACAUGCAAGUCGAACGGUAACAGGUCUUCGGAUGCUGACGAGUGGCGAACGGGUGAGUAAUACAUCGGAACGUGCCUAGUAGUGGGGGAUAACCACUCGAAAGAGUGGCUAAUACCGCAUGAGAUCUACGGAUGAAAGCAGGGGAUCGCAAGACCUUGUGCUACUAGAGCGGCCGAUGGCAGAUUAGGUAGUUGGUGGGAUAAAAGCUUACCAAGCCGACGAUCUGUAGCUGGUCUGAGAGGACGAUCAGCCACACUGGGACUGAGACACGGCCCAGACUCCUACGGGAGGCAGCAGUGGGGAAUUUUGGACAAUGGGCGCAAGCCUGGUCCAGCAAUGCCGCGUGCAGGAUGAAGGCCUUCGGGUUGUAAACUGCUUUUGUACGGAACGAAAAGCCCUGGGUUAAUACCCUGGGGUCAUGACGGUACCGUAAGAAUAAGCACCGGCUAACUACGUGCCAGCCGCCGCAGUAACAC
rnacentral:rRNA from 1 species